rnacentral:lncRNA from 1 species
GGCUGAUGUGGGGCCAAGGGCCGCCACGGUUCCGAGGUGCUGCUGUGAAUCCCAGGCCUGCUGUGGAGAGGGGCUGUCUUUGAGGGUUGAGGCCUGCUAUAGGGCUGAGGCCUGCUAUUGGGCUGAGGCCUACUGUGGGGCUGAGGCCUGCUGUGGAGCCUGCUAUAGGGCUGAGGCCAUGCUGUGGGGCUGAGGCGUUCCCAGCUGCCAGGUUUCCCAGCCCAGCCCGGCCCAGCCUGGCUUCCUUCCCCCGCCACGCAGCAGCAGUCAGUUUGGGAAGCGUUGCCAUAGCAGUGGGCCGUCCCCAUCCUGUCCCGCUGUGCCAGGCCCUGUGUCACAGCCAGGCCUGCCCUGUGCUCCCCCCCCCGUCCCGGCUGACUCACCGGCUCUGCUGUGUGUCACAGCACAGGCCGGGGGGUGACAGCGAGACCCCCCCCACCCCACAGCACCCACAGACACAAAGCCUUACCUGAGUGCACUGGCGGGGCUCCUGGAUGGGCUGGCGGGGGCCCGGGGGGGCAGGACGGCUCCAGGCACAGGCUUUGGGGUGCUGCCCCGCUCCGUCCUGCUGUAGCCAACGUCCCCCCAGCCUGGCAGCCGCUUGUCCCCGAGGCUGGUCGUGUCGGCACGGCGCGGGGUGCUGGGGCUGGGGGCGUGGGGUGCGGGGCUGGCACUGUUGACGGUGGGUUUUGGUGGGGAGAAGGUCAGG